rnacentral:rRNA from 1 species
GACGAACGCUGGCGGCGUGCCUAAUACAUGCAAGUCGAGCGGACAGAUGGGAGCUUGCUCCCUGAUGUUAGCGGCGGACGGGUGAGUAACACGUGGGUAACCUGCCUGUAAGACUGGGAUAACUCCGGGAAACCGGGGCUAAUACCGGAUGCUUGUUUGAACCGCAUGGUUCAAACAUAAAAGGUGGCUUCGGCUACCACUUACAGAUGGACCCGCGGCGCAUUAGCUAGUUGGUGAGGUAACGGCUCACCAAGGCAACGAUGCGUAGCCGACCUGAGAGGGUGAUCGGCCACACUGGGACUGAGACACGGCCCAGACUCCUACGGGAGGCAGCAGUAGGGAAUCUUCCGCAAUGGACGAAAGUCUGACGGAGCAACGCCGCGUGAGUGAUGAAGGUUUUCGGAUCGUAAAGCUCUGUUGUUAGGGAAGAACAAGUACCGUUCGAAUAGGGCGGUACCUUGACGGUACCUAACCAGAAAGCCACGGCUAACUACGUGCCAGCAGCCGCGGU